UGACCAGAUGCCCCAGUUUUAUAGAGACAGUCUCAAUUUUGGGAUCUUUCUCUUACAUAGGCACCUGUUACCCCCAACCCACUGUCCUGAUUUAUCACACUUGCUGUCUGGUCUCCCUAGACAGAGGUGACAUAGA